UGACAACAAGGAGCCAGGGUGCAAACCGAACACACAACUUCAGGACACAGCGGACGUGCUUUUCAUCACACCUCCAGUCUGUCAGCAUAAGAAGAAAAGGCCAUGCUAGACAUCAGGCCUCGUUUGAGCGAACACGCUUCCCCAGAAUUAUGAUUCAUAUUGCCUGAUUCUCAAAAUCCAGACAAACUCCAUGGAAAUAACUCUCCUUUAGGUGGAAAAGCAAACAGAAAUGCAGUGUUUUGGAUUGCCUGAAACCACCAUCCCCUUGCAGAAGCUGCUUCUGCCACUUCCUGCCAGAGCGUAUCUACUAAUUGCCUACAAAGUAUGUGCGUGUCUGCACUGAAUACGUGGAAUGAAGAAACAUCGUUAGAAGACCUUCAUGACCUUUUUCCUAAGAUAAUUAAAUGUAUAAAUCACAUUCCU